AGAAUCAACGCUGGCGGCGUGCCUAACACAUGCAAGUCGCACGAGAAAGGGUAGCAAUACCUGAGUAAAGUGGCGCACGGGUGAGUAACACGUGAAUUAUCUACCUCCGAGUGGGGAAUAACUGAGAGAAAUCUUAGCUAAUACCGCAUAACACUUACGAGUCAAAGCAGCAAUGCGCUUGGAGAGGAGUUCGCGGCAGAUUAGUUAGUUGGCGGGGUAAUGGCCCACCAAGACGAUGAUCUGUAUCCGGCCUGAGAGGGCGCACGGACACACUGGAACUGAAACACGGUCCAGACUCCUACGGGAGGCAGCAGUGGGGAAUUUUGCGCAAUGGGGGAAACCCUGACGCAGCAACGCCGCGUGGAGGAUGAAUAUCUUGGUAUGUAAACUCCUUUCGAUGGGGAAGAUUAUGACGGUACCCAUAGAAGAAGCCCCGGCUAACUUCGUGCCAGCAGCCGCGGUAA
rnacentral:rRNA from 1 species